rnacentral:misc_RNA from 1 species
UCUGGGUUUAUCCCAGCGGUCUCGUUAGAAAGAUUUAACUAACGACGGGGGUUGCGCUCGUUGCGGGACUUAACCCAACACCUCACGGCACGAGCUGACGACAGCCAUGCAGCACCUGUACUAGCUUCCCGAAGGAUCGUUCGUAUUUCUACUCCCUACUACUAGCAUGUCAAGCCUUGGUAAGGUUCUUCGCGUUGCAUCGAAUUAAACCACACGCUCCGCCGCUUGUGCGGGCCCCCGUCAAUUCCCUUGAGUUUCAACCUUGCGGCCGUACUCCCCAGGCGGACGACUAAUGCGUUAGCUGCGGCACGGAAGGGACUAACCCCCCCCACACCUAGUCGUCAUCGUUUACAGCGUGGACUAC